rnacentral:tRNA from 1 species
GCGGUGAUGGUUUAAUGGCAGAAUCUGAGAGUCCCAUCCUCAGGGUCCGGGUUCGAUUCCCGGUCGCCGCA